rnacentral:rRNA from 1 species
UACGAAGGGGGCUAGCGUUGCUCGGAAUCACUGGGCGUAAAGCGCACGUAGGCGGAUUCUUAAGUCAGGGGUGAAAUCCUGGAGCUCAACUCCAGAACUGCCUUUGAUACUGGGAAUCUCGAGUCCGGGAGAGGUGAGUGGAACUGCGAGUGUAGAGGUGAAAUUCGUAGAUAUUCGCAAGAACACCAGUGGCGAAGGCGGCUCACUGGCCCGGUACUGACGCUGAGACGCGAAAGCGUGGGGAGCAAACAGG